rnacentral:tmRNA from 2 species
GGGGCUGAUUCUGGAUUCGACGGGAUUCGCGAAACCCAAGGUGCAUGCCGAGGGGCGGUUGGCCUCGUAAAAAGCCGCAAAAAAAUAGUCGCAAACGACGAAAACUACGCUUUAGCAGCUUAAUAAC